rnacentral:rRNA from 1 species
GACGAACGCUGGCGGCGUGCUUAACACAUGCAAGUCGAACGGAAAGGCCCUGCUUGCAGGGUACUCGAGUGGCGAACGGGUGAGUAACACGUGGGUGAUCUGCCCUGCACUUCGGGAUAAGCCUGGGAAACUGGGUCUAAUACCGGAUAGGAGCCAUUUUUAGUGUGAUGGUUGGAAAGUUUUUUCGGUGUAGGAUGAGCUCGCGGCAUAUCAGCUUGUUGGUGGGGUAAUGGCCUACCAAGGCGGCGACGGGUAGCCGGCCUGAGAGGGUGGACGGACACAUUGGGACUGAGAUACGGCCCAGACUCCUACGGGAGGCAGCAGUGGGGAAUAUUGCACAAUGGGCGCAAGCCUGAUGCAGCGACGCCGCGUGGGGGAUGACGGCCUUCGGGUUGUAAACUCCUUUCGCUAGGGACGAAGCUUUUUGUGACGGUACCUAGAUAAGAAGCACCGGCUAACUACGU